rnacentral:rRNA from 1 species
UACGGAGGGAGCUAGCGUUGUUCGGAAUUACUGGGCGUAAAGCGCGCGUAGGCGGCUUUGUAAGUUAGAGGUGAAAGCCCGGAGCUCAACUCCGGAACUGCCUUUAAGACUGCAUCGCUUGAAUCCAGGAGAGGUGAGUGGAAUUCCGAGUGUAGAGGUGAAAUUCGUAGAUAUUCGGAAGAACACCAGUGGCGAAGGCGACUUACUGGACGCAUAUUGACGCUGAGGUGCGAAAGCGUGGGGAGCAAACAGG